UGGGGUGUAGCUCAGUGGUAGACUACUUGCCUAGCAUGUAGGAGGCCCUAUGUUCAAUUCCCAGUACCUCAA
rnacentral:tRNA from 1 species